UGGGAAUAUUCGUGAAAGGGUAUUUCAGGAAGCCUUGAACAGACUGGUGGGUGAAGCCACUCCUCGAGACGCAGACACUGUCUUCGGCGAAGCUGUGGCGACCAGCAUAAGGGACCUGGAUCAGUUAAGAAAGGACAUGGUCAAGGCUAAAGUAAUGGAACUGAUAUUUCAGCUGGAACAUAAUGUGCAAGUCAUCCACCAAGCUACAUAAUGUUAUUUAUUCUUCGGUGCAUACCAACUGUGGAAACAUGGGGUACAGUGGAAGCAUUCUACAACACAAAUAUCUGCAGGAACGCUGCCUUCAUGCACGAAGUAAUCCUGCAGCUCAUCCCUGACCUGGCAGGCCUCCGUCGACGCAUGCAUGCCACGGUGCUGAAAUGGCUCCAGACACCCUCGGCCUGACGCAGUGUCCUGCAGUACUGGCGUGUUGCUGUCCUGCAUCACUUCAUGUGCUUUCAGGAAAUUGUGCACAGAACAGGAGGCCAGCACAAGCUUGGUUGCAUUCCCUGGUGUUGCUUGUAUGCGCUUCUGGAGUAUCCUGAAUUUCUGGGACAGCGUGCCGAAGUAGCACUCUACCAUCCUUCUUGCUGUAGAGUGCCUGUGUAAAGUAUGGCACAAUGACAAUUACUUCACUAUUGUA